UAGGGACCAAAUUGGUCAGAGCAGG
rnacentral:piRNA from 1 species